GAUGAACGCUGGCGGCGUGCCUAAUACAUGCAAGUCGAGCGAACAGACGAGGAGCUUGCUCCUCUGACGUUAGCGGCGGACGGGUGAGUAACACGUGGAUAACCUACCUAUAAGACUGGGAUAACUUCGGGAAACCGGAGCUAAUACCGGAUAAUAUAUUGAACCGCAUGGUUCAAUAGUGAAAGACGGUUUUGCUGUCACUUAUAGAUGGAUCCGCGCCGCAUUAGCUAGUUGGUAAGGUAACGGCUUACCAAGGCAACGAUGCGUAGCCGACCUGAGAGGGUGAUCGGCCACACUGGAACUGAGACACGGUCCAGACUCCUACGGGAGGCAGCAGUAGGGAAUCUUCCGCAAUGGGCGAAAGCUUGACGGAGCAACGCCGCGUGAGUGAUGAAGGGCUGCGGAUCGUAAAACUCUGUUAUUAGGGAAGAACAAAUGUGUAAGUAACGAUGCACGUCUGGACGGUACCUAAUCAGAAAGCCACGGCUAACUACGU
rnacentral:rRNA from 1 species